rnacentral:tRNA from 1 species
GGGGGUAGAGCUCAGUGGUAGAGCUCACGCUUAGCAUGCUCAAGGUCCCAGGUUCAAUCCCUAGUACUGCCA